AAGAGCCCAGCGCUGAAUCCUUUGGCCUCUGGCUACCAGGAAAUGUAGCGUAUAGGUGCAACUGUUCGUUCUCUUCGCGCACCCAAAGUCCCCUUGAGCGGGGCUACAGUCCAUAGAAGGUGCUAGACCUGUACGGGUGGCGAGGUGUUCGAUAGGUUGCUCCUUGGAGUCGGGUUGCCUGAGAUCGCAGCCCAAAGAGGGUGGUAAACCUCAUCUAAGGCUAAAUAUGACCACGAGACCGAUAGCAAACAAGUACCGUGAGGGAAAGUUGCAAAGAACUUUGAAGAGAGAGUUCAAGAGGGCGUGAAACCGCUGAGAUGGAAACGGAUAGAGUUGACGAAACUCGGCGGCAUUCAACCGGUCAGCUUAGUGGCCUUGCGGUUUUGCGCCUCGAUGAGGGCAAGGACGUGAGUGUCUAUUGAGCACUUGAUUGGUGUAUUUGCCGUCGGUAUGCGCCGAGAGCUUCGGCUUCGUGCGCUGACGUAUGUGUAGUGGACCACUCCUUCCGGGCGUGGAACCCUGCGCAUAUUGAGGCGCAUCGGAGGUGAGGUUGGUAUACGGUCCCCGCUUAGGCGCAACGGUUAUUGCGUGUUUGGCGUUGCUGUUGGGCGGUCGCGUGCGACUUGCCUAUAGUUAGCGUUGAUCCGUGGUGAUGCAGAUGCGUUGGGACAUGUAUCUCGGUGUGAACGUUGACCACCUAUCCGACCCGUCUUGAAACACGGACCAAGGAGUCUAGCAUAUGCGCGAGUCAUUGGGUGGAAAACCUAAAGGCGUAAUGAAAGUAAAGGUCGUCUUGACGCGGCUGAUAUGGGAUCCGCACGGUUUCGACCGGGCGGCGCACCAUAGCCCCGUCCCCGUUGCUUGCAAUAGGGCGGAGGUAGAGCGCAUACGCUGGGACCCGAAAGAUGGUGAACUAUGCCUGAGCAGGAUGAAGCCAGAGGAAACUCUGGUGGAGGUCCGAAGCGGUUCUGACGUGCAAAUCGAUCGUCUGACUUGGG
rnacentral:rRNA from 1 species